GUCCAGACUCCUACGGGAGGCAGCAGUGGGGGAUAUUGCACAAUGGGGGAAACCCUGAUGCAGCGACGCCGCGUGAGUGAAGAAGUACUUCGUUACGUAAAGCUCUAUCAGCAGGGAAGAAAAUGACGGUACCUGACUAAGAAGCCCCGGCUAACUACGUGCCAGCAGCCGCGGUAAUACGUAGGGGGCAAGCGUUAUCCGGAUUUACUGGGUGUAAAGGGGGCGCAGACGGCGAUGCAAGCCAGGAGUGAAAGCCCGGGGCCCAACCCCGGGACUGCUCUUGGAACUGCGUGGCUGGAGUGCAGGAGGGGCAGGCGGAAUUCCUGGUGUAGCGGUGAAAUGCGUAGAUAUCAGGAGGAACACCGGUGGCGACGGCGGCCUGCUGGACUGCAACUGACGUUGAGGCCCGACAGCGUGGGCAACAAACAGGAUUAGCUACCCCAGUA
rnacentral:rRNA from 1 species